UCCCAGACUCCUACGGGAGGCAGCAGUGAGGAAUAUUGGUCAAUGGGCGGAAGCCUGAACCAGCCAAGUCGCGUGAGGGAAUAAGGCCCUACGGGUCGUAAACCUCUUUUGCCGGGGAGCAAGGGCGGGGACGUGUCCCGGCCCGGAGAGUACCCGGAGAAAAAGCAUCGGCUAACUCCGUGCCAGCAGCCGCGGUAAUACGGAGGAUGCGAGCGUUAUCCGGAUUUAUUGGGUUUAAAGGGUGCGCAGGCGGCCUGUUAAGUCAGCGGUAAAAGCCCGGAGCUCAACCCCGGCGAGCCGUUGAAACUGGCGGGCUGGAGUUGGAGAGAAGUACGCGGAAUGCGCGGUGUAGCGGUGAAAUGCUUAGAUAUCGCGCAGAACCCCGAUUGCGAAGGCAGCGUACCGGCUCCACACUGACGCUGAGGCACGAAAGCGUGGGUAUCGAACAGGAUUAGAUACCCCCGUAG
rnacentral:rRNA from 1 species